rnacentral:lncRNA from 1 species
AUCUUUACGAUUCCAGGACAAGCUUUUGUCCCCAAACCAGAGAAUGUACCAUCUUCCAUGCCUAGAGAUGAAACCGAAGUACGUGGAAAGGUCUGUUUAUGAAAACAGGCUGUUGACAGCCCAUCCUCCUGUUUUACAAGGAUGAGUUGAUUGAUCACACUAUGCCACAUAUCAUGCCACAGAAUGAUAAUAUGUUUGCUUACAACGAAGGUGGACGUGGGCGUGGUGCACUUCACUCCCUUGAUACAGCCCAAGAUAGAGCAGCCAUUCAAGCUGGUGGAAAAAGUGGUUCAGAAUGUAUUUCAGUUCCGAAGGAAAUACUGCCAUCGAGGGCUCAGAAUGUUAUUCCCUGAAGCGCAGCGCUUGGAAAGCACGGGCAGGCUGUUAGAGUUGGCAGACAUAGACCCUACUCUUCGGCCCCGCCAGCUCUCCAUCUCACACUUU